GAAAGUGUGCAGGAAGAUUCUUCAAACUUAGUGGCUGAAAUUUCCGCCAGUAACUGUUGUCAGAAAAGUAGAUUUAGUGGUGAAAAUUUCCGCCAAUAAAUACUUCUAUUAUACAAAAAAAAAAGGUUUUUUUUUGUUUUUAUAAUGAUAUUAAUUAAAUAAAAGAAUUUAAAUUUAAUACAAAAAUAAUUAAAUCAUCCCUCUAUUUCUCGUUUUCACCUUUUUUUUUCUUUCUAUUAUUUAUUUACAUUAGAAUACCACACUAACCCAUUAUUAUAUCAAAACUAAAAAUAUCAAAUAUGAUUAAUGAUUUUGUUUUUUUGUUUAUUAAUUUAAAAUGAUAUUAUUUAAUUAAAAGAAAUUAAAUAUAAGCUUGUCGAGUAUUUCUUCCCGGAGUAAGCUUGUCCAGUCGCCGGAGCUUUUGUUUUUCCUCCUCCGUGUGACCUGUUUGUCUUCCUUGAAACGCCACCUCCACCACCGUCGCCGCGGUUGCUAUGAUAAUCUCGUUUG
rnacentral:lncRNA from 1 species